rnacentral:rRNA from 1 species
CCUACGGGAGGCAGCAGUGGGGGAUAUUGCACAAUGGGGGAAACCCUGAUGCAGCGACGCCGCGUGUAGGAAGACGGUCCUCUGGAUUGUAAACUACUGUCCCCAGGGACGAAGAUGACGGUACCUGGUGAGGAAGCUCCGGCUAACUACGUGCCAGCAGCCGCGGUAAUACGUAGGGAGCGAGCGUUGUACGGAAUUACUGGGUGUAAAUGGAGCGUAGGCGGGGAUGCAAGUUGGGUGUUAAAUCUACCGGCUCAACUGGUAGUCGCACUCAAAACUGCAGCUCUUGAGUGAAGUAGAGGCAGGCGGAAGUCCAAGUGGAGCGGUGAAAUGCGUAGAUAUUAGGAGGAACACCAGUGGCGAAGGCGGCCUGCUGGGAUUUUACUGACGCUGAGGCUCGAAAGUGUGGGGAGCAAACAGGAUUAGAUACCCCAGUAGUC